ACACAGGGGUUAGGCGGUUUACUAGGGCUUCGUCGCCGCCGGCGAAGAUCGAGAGAGCCGCCAGGCGGGCGCCGCGGUCGCCUCCGGAGACGGGGGCGUCGAUGGAGGAGCAGCCGGCGGCGGUGGCAGCGGAGUGGAUCUCGACGGCGAGGGAGGGGUCGGAGGUGGUCAUGUCGACUAUGGCGGCGCCGGGGUGGAGGCCGGAGAGGGCGCCAGAGGCGGGGUCGAGGAUGACGUGGCGGACGUCGGAGGGGUAGCCGACGAUGGAGAAGACGACGUCGGAUUGGGAGGCGAGGGAUUUGGGGGAGUCGGCCCAGUGGGCCCCCAUGGAGAGGAGGGAUUGGGCCUUGGAUUGGG
rnacentral:lncRNA from 1 species